AACGCACCUUGCGCUCCUUGGUAUUCCGAGGAGCAUGCCUGUUUGAGUGUCAUGAAAUUCUCAACUGCCCCAAGCUUUGCGGCUUGCGGGUGAAGUUGGACUUGGAGGUAUGCUGGCGCAUGAAUGGGCUUUGUGCCCUGUCGUGCUUGUCGGCUCCUCUCGAAUGCAUGAGCUUUCCAAUCCUUGGCAAAGUAUCGUCGAUGUGAUAAUUAUCUGCGUCGCCCGAGAAAGCCUAACAGGGGAAAUCUUUGAUCACGUCGGGGCAACCCCCGCGUCUGACAAAUUCGACCUCAAAUCAGGUAGGACUACCCGCUGAACUUAA
rnacentral:misc_RNA from 1 species